rnacentral:rRNA from 1 species
CCUACGGGAGGCAGCAGUGGGGAAUAUUGCACAAUGGGGGAAACCCUGAUGCAGCGACGCCGCGUGAGUGAAGAAGUAUUUCGGUACGUAAAGCUCUAUCAGCAGGGAAGAAAAUGACGGUACCUGACUAAGAAGCCCCGGCUAACUACGUGCCAGCAGCCGCGGUAAUACGUAGGGGGCAAGCGUUAUCCGGAUUUACUGGGUGUAAAGGGAGCGUAGACGGCAGCGCAAGUCUGGAGUGAAAUCCCAUGGCUUAACCAUGGAACUGCUUUGGAAACUGUGCAGCUAGAGUGCAGGAGAGGUAAGCGGAAUUCCUAGUGUAGCGGUGAAAUGCGUAGAUAUUAGGAGGAACACCAGUGGCGAAGGCGGCUUACUGGACUGUAACUGACGUCGAGGCUCGAAAGCGUGGGGAGCAAACAGGAUUAGAUACCCUAGUAGUC